GGAGCGUCUUAAUCAUAAAGCAAUCAUCUUGAGACAGGAAAAAGAUGCUACCACUUCUUCCAGGAGAGAAAAGUUCCCUAAGAGAACCAUUUCCACAAAUGGACGUCACAUAGUCAAUGGCAUCUAUCUUGAACUUCUCUUUCAAAUUCCUUUCCAUUCAAGCAGCUAGGCAGAGUGAGAUAGGAGAAAGAGAGAUCUGUCCACGAG
rnacentral:misc_RNA from 1 species